CAGAUCCUCCAGAGACACACAAUGCUAACAAAAAGGGAGGAAUUUUGUCUUUUUCUUUCCACUCCACAGUUAUUGAAAGAUGACGUGCCCCAGAUUGGUGGCAAGAGAAAACAAAAUCAGCAUCGAAACUAAUUUUGCCUUACGAGUUUAAAGUCUACGAUAAGAUUUUCUCCAGUCGGCAAUAUCUAAAUCUGAGUGCUGAGUCAGUAUUGACAUGACACAUUCAUUAGUCAUGCCU